UUUUGUGUCCAAAAUGUUACGUCUCGAAAAAUCAAUUUUUUUACGAUAACGCUGUUUACUUUCACAUAUCGGUUGCGCAAAGGCGCCGGAAAAUAACUGCACACAUUAUUUGAUGACGUAGAACGCAUUCAACGAAUUUGUGUACACAAAAGCUGACAACAUGGCCGAAUCUUCGACACGAGUUCGGUGGAUGAAUGGCCGUGGGUCAUAUUCUUCAAGAAAUAUAAAGAUAAUGCAUGGGUUAUGAAUGAAAUAAGGCAUACCAUCCUUGAAUCAGAUAUCCAGAGAAAGUUGGAACCACCUAAAGUGUCCAAGCUAGGUCGUCGGCUACUUUACAGAUUUGAAAGUUACAAGGAAGACAAGUGAAGCAGAGAGAGAGGGAGAAAUACCAUGUUUGCAGUUUAGAGUUUGCUGUUGUUUUAGUCUGUGAAAAUCUCAGAAUAAAUAAUAUGUUAAUUAC